CCAGGCCCGAGUGCCGCCGUCACCACCAGCGCCCGACUCCGAGCUCCUCCUCCCGUGCGCCUCCUCCCUGGCCUCCCUCGCGCGUCGUCCGGCGACCGGCGCCGCCGCCGCCGACCACCCAGGUCACGCCGCCGCUUCCAUGCCUUUUCUCUCUCUAAUCUUCUUGUCUCUCCUCUCCAGGAGCUCAGCGCCAGCGCCAUGGAUGUCCAGUCCUCGAGCUCUCCUCGGAGGUUCGAACGCCGCCACGGGACCUCCACCAGCCAGAUCCGGCGCCUACCUCCCGGAUCCGCGCUCCCUCCACCUCCUCUACCCGAUCCGGCGCCGCCGAACCCGCCAUGACCUCCACCAUGGAGUUCCUAUAGCUCGUCCCCUGCCUCCUCGUCCUGUGCUAGAGGGAGACGCCCCUCCAGCGCAUCCAGGACAAGGCCCACCACCAGCCGGUCGUUGUUGCACUCGCCGGCGACCUCACCCUCCCCUCUGCACUGCCCUCCACCUCAACUAAUGCUUCUCAUCAUCAGGGAUAGAUUUAGCUGGUCAUAGAUUGUGGAUGUUCUCUGUUAAUUUUUGCACACAAGGUGUUUGUGUGUUUGUCCAAGCCAAUGUUCAUGAGCUUUAUCUUUUUUAUAAAUGACAUGGCUGAGAAAGUCCCUUCAAUGAAAGGAGGAGGAGUAUAGUCUUGGCCAUGGCUGGGAAGGAAGGAUAACAUGCCUUCAUGCUGGACAGAGGAGGAGAAGAAGGGGGGCACGUAGAAGGUGCCGGUGGAGCGCGCCGUCGAGAUCGUUGAUGACAGCGACACGGGCGAGGCCGGGGAGGAGGUCAUGGUUGAUGCUUUACUGCCUGAAUAUGUUGACCGGGAACAAGAGGGUAAGGUGGAUGUGAGGGCGGAGGCGCAUGCCAUGGUGCAGGAUGUUGUGGAAGCCUAAUUAUUUGAGGAAGUGACAGCCACUGGGAGCAUGGAUCGACAGACUAGACAGCAGACCAAGUCCAUUGAUCGGCUGAUUCAACAACGAAGGAAGAGGCAGAAGGUUAUAAAAACGAGCUUGGGGAUUUACUGACCUGAAUCUUAAACAGGGCCGCCCUGCUGGUGGACUCAAGCUCCAGGUUUGCUCCUAGCACGUCUUAAUUAAUUACAUUGGCUCUUGACAAAAUGUCUAGCAUCAUGGAUAAUGAAUUCAUUCUGUGAUGCCACA